UUUUGGUUAAGUUAAUAAGGGCGCACGGUGGAUGCCUUGGCACUAGGAGUCGAUGAAGGACGGCACUAACACCGAUAUGCCUCGGGGAGCUGUAAGUAAGCUUUGAUCCGGGGAUUUCCGAAUGGGGGAACCCACUAUCUUUAAUCGGAUAGUAUCUUCACGUGAAUU
rnacentral:rRNA from 1 species